rnacentral:rRNA from 1 species
CCUACGGGAGGCAGCAGUGAGGAAUAUUGGUCAAUGGCCGUAAGGCUGAACCAGCCAAGUAGCGUGAGGGAAGACUGCCCUAUGGGUUGUAAACCUCUUUUAUGCGGGGAUAAAGGUGUCCACGUGUGGAUGUUUGCAGGUACCGCAUGAAUAAGGACCGGCUAAUUCCGUGCCAGCAGCCGCGGUAAUACGGAGGGUCCGGGCGUUAUCCGGAUUUAUUGGGUGUAAAGGGAGCGUAGGCGGGCCGUUAAGCGUGCCGUGAAAUUUUGUGGCUCAACCGUGGGAGUGCGGCGCGAACUGGAGACCUGGAGUGCGCGGAAGGCAGGCGGAAUUCGUGGUGUAGCGGUGAAAUGCUUAGAUAUCACGAAGAACCCCGAUUGCGAAGGCGGCCUGCCGCAGCGUAACUGACGCUGAAGCUCGAAAGCGCGGGUAUCGAACAGGAUUAGAUACCCGAGUAGUC